rnacentral:lncRNA from 1 species
UGUUCAUUAAAGCAAAUAUUUUUAAUUGAUUAGCAGUAUAGAAGUUUUUCAAUUUAAAUAGAACCAUGGUACUGGAAUUGAGUCCGAAUAAAAGAUUGGAAUGGAUGGUAUUUCUCAAGCAAUCCAUCAAGAGCAUAUCCUAACAGACCAGUUGGGCUAACUAGUGAUCCACUUGUUGCAAGUUGAUCAGUGAUGGUUUUGAUUUGUUGCGAAU